AUUUGGAAAACCAACAAUUGUAAUAUAAACAGAAAAUCUCCUCUCCUUUGUAAUAAAGGAUCAGAAUAAUAUAAAGAAACUUCAACAAAAUAGGACAUCUCUAAUUUGCAAAUAUUCAUAAGAAUGUGGGAAGCAUAGUAGAGAAAAAUCAAGGAGCUUGAAGUUAUAACUGUUGGAAUUUGUAGAUGGAAGUGGUAAAAUGUUUAGAAGGGAAAGUUGGCUGGUCCUGGCCAUAACCUUGCUGAAGAAUGGUUUUUGGCCAUUUGGUGGGACCAGGCAGCUGUGCUUCCCUCUGCCUGCAUGCCACCAGCCCGAGCAAGGAAGGCAAGAUUUGGAAGGCUGCUCUGAGAUCUGCGCUCCCUUCAGC